rnacentral:rRNA from 1 species
GAUGAACGCUGGCGGCGUGCCUAAUACAUGCAACUUGAACGCACUGACGUCGACAGAAGGUGCUUGCACUGGAAGUUGAUUGACGUGAGUGGCGGACGGGUGAGUAACACGUGGGUAACCUGCCCUUAAGCGGGGGAUAACAUUUGGAAACAGAUGCUAAUACCGCAUAAAAGUUGAGAUCACAUGGUCUUAAUUUGAAAGACGGCCUUUGGCUGUCACUUAAGGAUGGACCCGCGGCGUAUUAGCUAGUUGGUGAGAUAAUAGCCCACCAAGGCGAUGAUACGUAGCCGACCUGAGAGGGUAAUCGGCCACAUUGGGACUGAGACACGGCCCAAACUCCUACGGGAGGCAGCAGUAGGGAAUCUUCCACAAUGGACGAAAGUCUGAUGGAGCAACGCCGCGUGAGUGAAGAAGGUUUUCGGAUCGUAAAACUCUGUUGUUGGAGAAGAACAGGGACUAGAGUAACUGUUAGUCCUUUGACGGUAUCCAACCAGAAAGCCACGGCUAACUACGUGCCAGCAGCCGCGGUAAUACGUAGGUGGCAAGCGUUGUCCGGAUUUAUUGGGCGUAAAGCGAGCGCAGGCGGUUUCUUAAGUCUGAUGUGAAAGCCUUCGGCUUAACCGAAGAAGUGCAUCAGAUACUGGGAAACUUGAGUGCAGAAGAGGAAAGUGGAACUCCAUGUGUAGCGGUGAAAUGCGUAGAUAUAUGGAAGAACACCAGUGGCGAAGGCGGCUUUCUGGUCUGUAACUGACGCUGAGGCUCGAAAGUAUGGGGAGCGAACAGGAUUAGAUACCCUGGUAGUCCAUACCGUAAACGAUGAGUGCUAAGUGUUGGAGGGUUUCCGCCCUUCAGUGCUGCAGCUAACGCAUUAAGCAUUCCGCCUGGGGAGUACGACCGCAAGGUUGAAACUCAAAGGAAUUGACGGGGGCCCGCACAAGCGGUGGAGCAUGUGGUUUAAUUCGAAGCUACGCGAAGAACCUUACCAGGUCUUGACAUCUAGCGCCAAUCCUAGAGAUAGGACGUUCCCUUCGGGGACGCUAAGACAGGUGGUGCAUGGUUGUCGUCAGCUCGUGUCGUGAGAUGUUGGGUUAAGUCCCGCAACGAGCGCAACCCUUAUGAUUAGUUGCCAGCAUUUAGUUGGGCACUCUAAUCAGACUGCCGGUGACAAAC